rnacentral:snRNA from 1 species
AGCUUUGCGCAGUGGCAGUAUCGUAGCCAAUGAGGUUUAUCCGAGGCACGAUUAUUGCUAAUUGAAAAAGAGGAAGAAAAGC